ACAGCAGCCGCGGUAAUACGUAGGCAGCAAGCGUUGUUCGGAGUUACUGGGCGUAAAGAGUAUGUAGGCGGUUAUCUAAGUCUGGCGUGAAAUCUCCCGGCUCAACUGGGAGGCUGCGUUAGAUACUGGAUAGCUUGAGCGUGGGAGAGGAAAGCGGAAUUUCUGGUGUAGCGGUGAAAUGCGUAGAUAUCAGAAGGAACACCUGCGGUGAAGACAGCUUUCUGGACCACAGCUGACGCUGAGAUACGAAAGCGUGGGUAGCAAACAGGAUUAGAUACCCUGGUAGUCCACGCCCUAAACGAUGCACACUUGGUGUGAGCCAUUCAUUUGGUUUGUGCCGGAGCUAACGCGUUAAGUGUGCCGCCUGGGGAGUACGGUCGCAAGGCUGAAACUCAAAUAAAUUGACGGC
rnacentral:rRNA from 1 species